CUGGAGACAAAAAGUCGGGGGUCACUGGCCUCAUUCUUGGGGAUCUUCUAUCUCUCCUGAGAGCGCCAAUUGCCUCUGUAGUGACGUCUCUCAGCGGGCAAUGUGUGACUCCACCAUGGUGAGGUCUUUUUAGACUACAGCUAUGUUUGUCUGUGUGCUGUCCCGGCUUCCUCAGUGUCUCCAAGGCCUCUAUGCCUUCCACUCUUAUCUACAGGUCGUUGGCCUUCAGAUAGAGGUGACAGUCCAUGGCCACCUGAACCAGCACAUGUGUCCUCAGCUUCUUCUCUCCCCACCCUUCCAUCUCUGCCCCUUUACAGCUCCCAACCCCCACCUGAGCCCCGCCUAGUCGGGCAUGGGGAUUACAGUGGUCUUCAAGCUCAAGAAGCACCUUCCAACAAACCAACUAAGAGUGAGACGGUCGAGUAUGCAGCUAAAACCGUAAACAGCCUACUGAUUACAGAUGCUGCAUUAGCGCAUUCAUUUGCCUGGCAAUUAUAAGAAAAUACUUCAGUGACUCGGUCGGCUUAUCACAGUUCCCGAAAGGAAGGCACUCGUUUUUCUCCUCCGCAAUCUUACAGUCUAACAGAGGCUUCCUCGUUUUCCAAAGCGGUGAUAUGAUGAGAGAAACAGACUGGAAAUCCUCAAUGACAACUUUCUUCCAAGAAACCAUUUAAAAUUAUGUAACUAAUUUACAGUGGCUGCUAGAUCCUGUCUAUUAAUAGUGCAAAUUUGAAUUCUUAUUCUCCAAGCGAGCAUCCCAGAAAAGAACUCCUUAUUUUGGUUCAUUGCAAGCUCAGCUGGUAUCUGGUGGUGGAAUGGUAACUCUGGACGCCCCUGAGGUGCCAGGGCAGCAAAGUGGUGACACUUGGUGAUGCCUAGUUCCACAAGGUGCCUCACAAAUUCCAUCCACUGCUCAGAGCAACUCUGCCUUCCCACAUGAGUUGGGCCCAGCCUCUGUGAAAGCAUUUGGUCUUGGCGAGCUGUGCAUUUGCAUGGGCCUCACUUAGCACCAGCUGGUCCACAGGAGCACCGUGUUCUUCCUGCCUCUAGCCACAUUCCUCCAUCCCCUGUGACCUUCAUCACUCAUUGAUGUUUACCAUUGCAGAUGUUUACCAUGCCAUUGCACCCUUGAACUCUCAGCAGCUGUGAUUGUCACACAAGGCCGGCACAAGAUGGAACUCAUCAACGUUCAGUCACAGAAAGGAUCACUGUGGGCAGAAGGGCUGGUGAGUCUCUGCGUCCUUGCCAGUGACCUCUCUCACGCCAAUCCUCCUUCCGCUCUGUCAUUUACAUAAUGUCUACUCCUCUCCUACAGAAAGGGACAGGUUCGAGGUCAGAGAGCCAUCUAUGUGCCCAUCACUCAGCUACUCUCUCCAGCCUCUGCUCACCUACACCUGCUGCAGACACAGAUGUGGGGUGGACACUUAUCCCCUAACCAUCCAAGAACGUGAAGCCCCGU
rnacentral:lncRNA from 1 species